UGGCAGCAGCCGCGGUAAUAGCCCUACGGGAGGCAGCAGUGAGGAAUAUUGGUCAAUGGGCGCAAGCCUGAACCAGCCAUGUCGCGUGCAGGACGACUGCCCUAUGGGUUGUAAACUGCUUUUAUAGUAGAAGAAACACAUCUACGUGUAGAUGUCUGCCAGUAUACUAUGAAUAAGCAUCGGCUAACUCCGUGCCAGCAGCCGCGGUAA
rnacentral:rRNA from 1 species